GGAGAGCUGGCCGAGCUGGCCGAAGGCGCCUGACUCGAAAUCAGGUGUACCGGUAACGGUACCGGGGGUUCGAAUCCCUCGCUCUCCG
rnacentral:tRNA from 1 species